rnacentral:misc_RNA from 1 species
CCUUAUACGAAGAUAGUCACGAUGAGUGUCCACACAGAUUGAUGGUUUAGAUUUAGUUAAAGCCAGAGCUUUAAUUAAUAACGUAAGUUAUUGAUUAAAGCUUUUUGCUUUAUGCUCUUUAACAAUUUGGAAAGCUGACUGAUUGAUUUACUUACGAGUAAUUCAAUCAAAUUUAAAAGUUCUCAAUGUUUAUCUGCUCUUAGUUAAUAAGAACGGUAUAAACACAACAAACACAUUCAAGUGUCUUGUAUUCGAAUGAUCAGAAAUGAUUGUUCAUUUUUUGAUUCUACUUUUUAUUAAAAAGUGGAAACAAAAAGUAAAUUGAGUCCGGCAAACAGUCAUCAAGAAUUAACCCUUCUUGAUGACAACCAAAAACCUUGGUUAGUUGCCAUACGCU